AGUCCUGGGGCGAUUGUCGGCUUGGUCGCUGUCUUUACCCGAGGCACAGUUGCACUUCAGUGACUAGACCGAACACUCGUAUCCUAGGACUUAC
rnacentral:pre_miRNA from 14 species